GCCGGGUGUGGUGGUGCAUGCCUGUAAUCCCAGCUACUCGGGAGGCUGAGGCAGAAGAAUCGCUUGAACCCAGGAGGUGGAGGUUGCAGUGAGCUGAGAUUGCGCCACUGCAGUCCAGUCUGGGCAACAGAGUGAGACUCUGUCUCAA
rnacentral:SRP_RNA from 1 species